AUGCCAAAAAUAAAGAAAUCUAAAAUUUGUGAAACUUUGGUUCAUUGUUCUCAAAGCAGGUAAGAAUGACUAAACCCUAAUCUUUCAUCCACUCGUCUGAAGGCUCACAUUUGUUUAGAAAUUUGUCAUCUCCUUGAACGGAUUCCAACGAUAUUAGGAGCUAAUUUGGUGCAUAAAAGCCAGAAGGAUCGAGUGCAUAAAAGCAAGAAGGAUCCUACAGUUGUUUGUGAAAAGUCCAACGAAUCAAAGUACAACGAGAUUUAUAUUUUUUGCUUGGGUGAAUGCUACCACAAUUUCAUGCAAACAUGGAGUGUUAAGUCUCAUUGGUAAUCAUGAAGAUCAACUUGUCAGUCUACAAUACUUCAAGCACCUCCCCUUUUACAUUGAUGUUUCAAACCUUAGAGGUGCAUAUAACUACACUUGAUAUAUUUGACACGUUUUGGAGACUUGAGUUUACAAGUAAAGAUAUAGGUUUUGAAGACUUCAUGCAAGUUGACAAGUUAGUUAUCAUUUUAUAAAGACUGCUAGACAAUUUUGUAUUUUUUUCCUAAGGAUGUUAGCUAAGAGGUUGUGUAAACAGUAUACUGAUUUGUAUCAUAGUCGUACAAUGACAUUAAUGAGAUGUUAAUCCAUAUUUUGAAAGUAGUUAUAUGUAUAAAAAUGAUAUUAUUGAGCAUUUUGUUGAAAUCCAAUUGAUUUCCUGUACUA